rnacentral:rRNA from 1 species
CUGAACGCUGGCGGCGUGGCUAAGACAUGCAAGUCGCACGGGGUAGCAAUACCCAGUGGCGAACGGGUGAGUAAUGAAUCGCUAAUGUACCCUGGAUUCCGGGAUAGCUAUCCGAAAGGAUAGGUAAUACCAGAUGAUAUAACCGAACCGCAUGGUUUGGUUCUCAAAGGAGCAAUCCGCUCUGGGAGCAGGCGAUUUCGUACCAGCUAGUUGGUGAGGUAACGGCUCACCAAGGCGACGACGCGUAGCCGGACUGAGAGGUUGGCCGGCCACAUUGGGACUGAGACACUGCCCAGACUCCUACGGGGGGCUGCAGUAACGAAUCUUCCGCAAUGCACGAAAGUGUGACGGAGCGACGCCGCGUGUAGGACGAAGCCCUUCGGGGUGUAAACUACUGUCAGGGGAAAGAAAGUUCUGAUCUACCCCAGAGGAAGGGACGGCUAACUCUGUGCCAGCCGCCGCGGUAAU